rnacentral:lncRNA from 1 species
CAAUAUAGCCUUUCGGGUCCCGUUUCCGCACCUAUGCGCACCGAAACGCCCGAAUGCCUCCGAACUUCACCGAACUUCACCGGAACCAUCCGAAUGGCUUUCUAACCUCACAUAAACCACAACUUCAUGAUUUUAGAAGUCCGGUACCUUACAUUGCAUCCAUCUCGUACAUUUAGGAUUCUUUGCAUUUCAUUACAUAAUUCCAUCAUUUCUUUCUUACAUCACAUUUUCCUCAAAAUAAGAUUUACAUUCUUUUCUUUACAUUACUAAUCAUCAAGUACAAAAGAUGAU